rnacentral:rRNA from 1 species
AAUAAACGUUAGCGGCGUGCCUGAUGCAUGCAAGCCGAACGCUCUAAUAAUUCGCAAGGAUUAUCAGGGAGUGGCGGACGGCUGAGUAACACGUAAGUGACCUACCUUCAAGUGGGGAAUAACUUGCUGAAAGGCAAGCUAAUACCGCAUGUGCUGGUAAGCAGAGGCUCAUCAGUAAAGCUCUAGGGCGCUUGAAGAGGGGCUUGCGUCUGAUUAGCUAGUUGGUAGAGUAAUGGCCUACCAAGGCGAUGAUCAGUAGCUGGUCUGAGAGGACAACCAGCCAGACGGGGACUGAGACACGGCCCUGACUCCUACGGGAGGCAGCAGCAAGGAAUUUUGCGCAAUGGGCGAAAGCCUGACGCAGCAACGCCGCGUGGGGGAAGAAGGCCCUCGGGUUGUAAACCCCUUUUCUCGAGGAAGAAUAAUGACGGUACUCGAGGAAUAAGUCUUGGCUAACUACGUGCCAGCAGCCGCGGUAAUACGUAGAAGGCAAACGUUAUUCGGAUUUACUGGGCGUAAAGCGGGUGCAGACGGCCCCUUAAGUCGGGUGUGAAUCUCCUGACUCAAUCAGGAGAGGUCAUUCGAUACUAAGGAGCUUGAGGGCAGCAGAGGAAGGCGGAAUUCCCGGUGUAGCGGUGAUAUGCGUAGAUAUCGGGAGGAACACCAGUGGCGAAGGCGGCCUUCUAGGCUGUUCCUGACGUUGAGACCCGAAAGCGUGGGGAGCGAAACGGAUUAGAUACCCGUGUAGUCCACGCCCUAAACUUUGGACACUAGGUAUGGGGGGUAUCGACCCUCUCCGUGCCGAAGCUAACGCAUUAAGUGUCCCGCCUGGGGACUACGGCCACAAGGCUAAAACUCAAAGGAAUUGACGG